rnacentral:misc_RNA from 1 species
CACACGCAACAGCACGCGGUCAGUCCUCUGUAAUCAAGCGCCGCUAUACGACGAUGGCCAUCCGCCGCUCUGUGAUUUACUACUUGACUGCUCUGCUAGUGUCCAGCACGGAAGCUUACAUCAAAGAAUGGCGUCCGGCCGACACCGACUGGCAAAACAAAGACAAUUGGGAAGGAGGUGCACUUCCCUGCUGGCGAUCUCGGGUCGUCUUGCCGGAAGAAGUGGUCAUUUCCGUCUUCCUCAAUGGAAGUGUCGCCUGGAGUGAAUUGGUUAUGCCGCAAACAGGUGAAUUGGUAUUAGAGGAUCUGACGUUGAACGCUCCUGAAACGAGUCAGGAGCGUUGCAGUAAUCAGGAAAUCAAGUUCAAGAAUUGGAGGCCCAGCAGUUGGUUCGAUCCCGAUCGUUGGCAGAUCGCCGAGUCGGAUGGAACGAUCGUUCCGCAACCGCUGGCCAUUCCACAUUCUGAGAGAAUUCCUUGCGCUCACGACAGCGUUCAUCUGUUAAAAAGGCAUUCACUCUCAGUCGAUUUCAAUCGCAUCAACUCUCUCACCGUUGGCCAGAUCAAAUACGGAGAUCAGCUUUUGACAGCUGAGGAAUGGCGAAAUCAACUAAACGGACCAGCCUGGAGGUAUCAAGUUCACAAUCCACCCCAUUCGGCCUACAUAAACGGAACCGAGUGCCAGGACGUGCUGGGCUGUCGUUGCGGCCACGACAUUGACGUGAUGCAAAUGGUAUGCAGUAAUGCUGGCACAUUAUGCAGUAAUCAGCUCGAAUGCCCUGACAGUUUCAGGCCACCUGGCCAAUGCUGUGAUAUGUGUGGGUCCAUGAUGAAAGUCACUUUUAAUGAAAGAACAUUCACAAAAUCUUCUCUGGAUCGGCUUGUCACUUCAAUGCUGGCUGAAGAUGGAUGGCCAGACCUUCAGAGCUAUUCCUACAGAACAGACGAGAAUGUUCUGCAUUUGUUGGUCGUGGACAACACCACAAACGAGAGAAGCAUCAAUGUGGCCAGCAAGAUUAAUGAUUACUUAAUGAAAGAUAAAGAAGGCAACAAUCUUUACGGAAUUGUGGAAUUGAUGCUGGUCAAAUCUGGCCACUCACACGCUGCCACUCACCACCUCACACCAGAGGAACUGCAUCUCAUUGCCUCCAAUUUGUCGACCGUCUUCGCUACUUUUAUCCUGUUGGGAGCUGUGGUAGCUGGCAUCUAUUUUUACAAAAAACGCCGUUUUACAGAUUCGCGCGAAGAGCUUUCCGUUGGCUUUGCUCGUUUCCAAAACGACUCGGCUGGAAAUGUGGAGAUAGCCAUUGACGCCAGUUUUGAACAAGCUUUGGCACGCCCUCCGCUCGACCCUGAUGCUCCACCACGCAGCAGCAACAUCCAGCAGGAGCCAAAAUCACCCUUCACGGAAGCCCCUGAAAUUCCCGACACUUGCUCGGACAGUUGUCAUGGAAGCAGUAACGUCAAGCCAGCGGCGGCGCCUGCCGCCUGGAAGAAAUUUACACGCGCCUUUGCUAACCCCCUCUUUGGCGACCCAUCGGCCGCAGUCGGACGCAUGUCGGCGAGGUGGACCAUGUCAUCACUCAUGAAGAACACGGUCACCCAGGAAAACCCCAUUUACAAUAUGGAUGUGCCCGAGUCAUCGACUGCGACAUCUGACAUCACGCCGGCAGUUGUUCCAGUACACGAACAACCGGUCGACGAAUCGCCCGUUGUCGCGAUUACGACGCUUCCGGCGACAGCGGUUGUUUCCGAUCGAGCGGAAGGAAAGGAAGGCGUCGCCGAGGGCGACGUUCCGCCGCUAGUUGACACUUUUCAAGCGGUUACGGAUGACGACGUUUCUCUUCCGCCUGCCCAAGGAGCUUUCGAAACGGUCAUGGAAGACGUGUCCCUGGUGGAGGAGCCGAGCUGCUCCGCUGAAAGCCUCACAGUCCAACCUCCUCCUCCAGCCAGUGGUUCCAAGAACAGUUUUAGCGGCGCCAAGCAUCCGUUAAAAAGGCUGUGGAAAAAGGCGACGACAAAAUCGAGUCCAGCCGUCGCUGUCGAUCCGGCCUCCGCUUUGUCAUCGCCUCAACCAUCCGAUGCGGAACUGUUGGAGCAGCCUACGCGCUUUACAAGUCCCCCCCAGCUCCUGAUGAGCCAGCAGCGUGAAGAUGAAAUGCAACUGACGCUGGCCGAAGAAACGGAUGAAUAAUCAUGACAAUAUCUGCAAAUCCCUUUUUCGCACAUGGUGGCGCCAUCCAUCGCUAAUUGCACAAAUAUCCUUGUUGUAACCAGCAGGAGGGGGGCCUGUGCUAAUCGCCUUCCAACUGCCCCCCUGUUGUCCGCCACCGUCCGCAUUUAGCCGCUGCAUUUUUUCACGUUGUUAUACUUUUUUUUUUCUAUUCUCACGAAAUAAAAAAACAAAAAGAAAAUAUAUAUGUAAAACACAAACGGUUAGAAAUGAUCCCGUUCUUUCCUCCGGUUUGGAAUUACAAGAGUUGAUACAUAA